rnacentral:rRNA from 1 species
UACAGAGGUCCCAAGCGUUGUUCGGAUUCAUUGGGCGUAAAGGGUGCGUAGGUGGCGCUGUAAGUCGGGUGUGAAAUUUCGGAGCUUAACUCCGAAACUGCAUUCGAUACUGCGGUGCUUGAGGACUGGAGAGGAGACUGGAAUUCAUGGUGUAGCAGUGAAAUGCGUAGAGAUCAUGAGGAAGACCAGUGGCGAAGGCGACUUUUUGGCCUGUAACUGACGCUGAGGCGCGAAAGCGUGGGGAGCAAACAGG